rnacentral:rRNA from 1 species
UAACCUUGAUGGCGACCGGCGCACGGGUGAGUAACACGUAUCCAACCUGCCUCAUACUCGGGGAUAGCCUUUCGAAAGAAAGAUUAAUAUCCGAUAGCAUAUAUUUCCCGCAUGGGUUUUAUAUUAAAGAAAUUCGGUAUGAGAUGGGGAUGCGUUCCAUUAGUUUGUUGGGGGGGUAACGGCCCACCAAGACUACGAUGGAUAGGGGUUCUGAGAGGAAGGUCCCCCACAUUGGAACUGAGACACGGUCCAA